rfam:Fonsecaea pedrosoi CBS 271.37 unplaced genomic scaffold supercont1.1, whole genome shotgun sequence.
GGGCACAUGGUCUAGGGGUAUGAUUUUCGCUUCGCAUCAGUGAGCCCUCUGCGGGCUUCAAACGACGUGUAUGUGAAAGGUCCGGGGUUCAAAUCCCCGUGUGUCCA